GAAAUGCGAUAAGUAAUGUGAAUUGCAGAAUUCAGUGAAUCAUCGAAUCUUUGAACGCACAUUGCGCCCGCCGGCAUCCCGGCGGGCAUGCCUGUUCGAGCGUCAUUUCAACCCUCAGGCUCCGCCUGGCGUUGGGGACCUGCGCACGCAGCCCCCGAAAGACAGCGGCGGGUGCGCCCUGGAAUCGAACGCAGUAGCUUCUUCUCGUUCUGGUUCGGGGCGCUCUCCGGCCGUAAAACACCCCCUCAAGGUUGACCUCGGAUCAGGUAGGAAUACCCGCUGAACUUAA
rnacentral:misc_RNA from 1 species